GAGUUUGAUUAUGGCUCAGAUUGAACGCUGGCGGCAUGCCUUACACAUGCAAGUCGAACGGCAGCACGGGAGCAAUCCUGGUGGCGAGUGGCGAACGGGUGAGUAAAGUAUCGGAACGUGCCCAGUCGUGGGGGAUAACGUAGCGAAAGUUACGCUAAUACCGCAUACGAUCUAUGGAUGAAAGCGGGGGAUCGCAAGACCUCGCGCGAUUGGAGCGGCCGAUAUCAGAUUAGGUAGUUGGUGGGGUAAAGGCUCACCAAGCCGACGAUCUGUAGCUGGUCUGAGAGGACGACCAGCCACACUGGGACUGAGACACGGCCCAGACUCCUACGGGAGGCAGCAGUGGGGAAUUUUGGACAAUGGGCGAAAGCCUGAUCCAGCCAUGCCGCGUGCAGGAUGAAGGCCUUCGGGUUGUAAACUGCUUUUGUACGGAACGAAAAGGUUUGGCCUAAUAAGCUGAGCUCAUGACGGUACCGUAAGAAUAAGCACCGGCUAACUACGUGCCAGCAGCCGCGGUAAUACGUAGGGUGCGAGCGUUAAUCGGAAUUACUGGGCGUAAAGCGUGCGCAGGCGGUUAUGUAAGACAGAUGUGAAAUCCCCGGGCUCAACCUGGGAACUGCAUUAGUGACUGCAUAGCUGGAGUACGGCAGAGGGGGAUGGAAUUCCGCGUGUAGCAGUGAAAUGCGUAGAUAUGCGGAGGAACACCGAUGGCGAAGGCAAUCCCCUGGGCCUGUACUGACGCUCAUGCACGAAAGCGUGGGGAGCAAACAGGAUUAGAUACCCUGGUAGUCCACGCCCUAAACGAUGUCAACUGGUUGUUGGGUCUUCACUGACUCAGUAACGAAGCUAACGCGUGAAGUUGACCGCCUGGGGAGUACGGCCGCAAGGUUGAAACUCAAGGAAUUGACAGGGACCCGCACAAGCGGUGGAUGAUGUGGGUUUAAUUCGAUGCACGCGAAAAACCUUACCCACCUUUGACAUGUACGGAAGUUACCAGAGAUGGUUCGU
rnacentral:rRNA from 1 species